rnacentral:rRNA from 1 species
GAAUGCUGACAUAAGUAACGAUAAAGCGGGUGAAAAGCCCGCUCGCCGGAAGACCAAGGGUUCCUGUCCAACGUUAAUCGGGGCAGGGUGAGUCGACCCCUAAGGCGAGGCCGAAAGGCGUAGUCGAUGGGAAACGGGUUAAUAUUCCCGUACUUGGUGUUACUGCGAAGGGGGGACGGAGAAGGCUAUGUUGGCCGGGCGACGGUUGUCCCGGUUUAAGCGUGUAGGUGUGUGUUCCAGGUAAAUCCGGUUCACUUUAACACUGAGGCGUGAUGACGAGGCACUACGGUGCUGAAGCAACAAAUGCCCUGCUUCCAGGAAAAGCCUCUAAGCAUCAGGUAACAUCAAAUCGUACCCCAAACCGACACAGGUGGUCAGGUAGAGAAUACCAAGGCGCUUGA